AGUGUUGAGAGAGCUUUUUUUUCCUGUAAGCCUUUGCUACCCAGUCCGCCACUCUAUUUCUAUUUCUAUUACAAUAUUGGAGCUUAAUAUUAGAGAAAGAAAGAAGCAGUUCACGAGCUUCGCAGAUGAGGGUCCUCUGUUCCCAUGGCAGUUUUUGCGAAGCUUCCACGUUGUUGACUAAGGUAAAGCAGUCUGACUCCAAAGUCAUUUUAUCACCCGCCCGAGACAAGAGGAAAUGAAGGGUUUCUAUCAAAGCUAAACACUCAGCUUGCUCGGCGGAGGAGACGAGGACAUCCUUCGCGAAGCCGUCUGUCAAGAUCCCAGACGAGUUGCGGCACACACAGGCGAUGGAUCCUUCUAAUGAACCAGUUCCUGAGCAUUUGUUGUCCUCUCUCUAUCAACGCUUCUGGGUCCGGGAGAUGAUUUCUGAAUACCAGGCCGUUCCUUGCUUUCCAUAUUUCCCAGAGAAUAAUCAAGACUAGCUCGAAUUGAGAAUAGGCGCUUCUCAGACUUCCCUUGUCCAUUUGCAGAGAAGAAAUAGAUGUUCCAGCGUCUCUGCAUGAGUUUCGCAGUAUGGGCAAGUCGGAUCAGGUACCAUCUUCCUUCUGUACAGGUUAUCCUUCGUCGGGAGUGCAUUUUGACACACACUCCAGAUGAAAUUUCUGAUUUUGUGUGGAGUUUUCAUUUUCCAAAUUCUGUUCCAGAGCUUAGUUGGGGGUUGAUAGGAGGAGGAUGCGUUCUGUGUUACCCUGUUUUCAAUCUUUCGUAUGUUGUUGUAGCAGCUCUUAACAGAGUACUCCCCUUCCCUCGUGCCAGUCCAGAUCAGCUUAUCUUCGUUCAUCUGCGGUCUAAUUUGUACCGUGAGAAUCUCUCGCACUACCUUUUCAUCAAAUACCCUUCGCAGGACUGGUUCCUUCCAUGUGUGGUCUUCCUGAUUUAUCAGAUCAGCGACCAAUCUUGGAUCCCCUACAUUCGCCGGUCCCCCUAUCCUUCCCCGUCUUAGCCACUUAUCCUCCCUGAUGUUGAUGUUCUGUCCAUUCCCAACCGACCACAAUACCGAAUCUUCAAUUGAUGUUCUUCCCAUAAGUAUGCUCUGCCAUCCCCACGAUGGUCUGGAGCCCUUCUCUGCCUUCCAGAAACAUUUAGUUGGGUAGUAGAUACCUUUCAGCACCUGACUACAUAGAGUUUUAUGGUUCUGUGCUAGCAUCCAAGCCUGUUUUCCCAACAUUGCCUUGUUAAAUGAUAUUAAAUCCCUAAACCCAAGGCCUCCCCUGUCUUUUCUCUGUUUUAGGAUUUCGGCUUUUCUCCACUGAACUCCUUUUGUUGCGGUUUGAUUCUUCCACCAGAAGGUUAUUAUUUUUUGUUCGAUUGCCCGACAUACUGAAACUGGGAUCUUGAAGAUUGACAUGGCAUAUUGUGGUAAUGCUUGGACAGCAGUUUUUAUCAGGAUCUCUUUCCCCGCUUUAGACAUGGUAUUUUCUUUCCACCCUUCGAGCUUCAUAUUUACCCUUGCCAGGAUCCAAGCAAACAUUUGCUUUUUAGAAGCUCUCCAAUCAGAGGGGAUUCCCAAGUACUUUCCUGUUUUUUCAAUCUCCGGGACCCUUAGUUCUCUAGCCAUGUUCCUUCUUAGAUCACUAGGGCAGUCCUUGCUGAAGAAUAUUCCCGACUUGUUCAAAUUGACUGCUUGUCCCAAUGCAAAGCAGUACUGGUUUAUGAUGCUCGCUAGAUUCUGGCAUUCUAGUUUCUUCCCAUCUAGGAAGAAUAUUGAAUCAUCUGCAAAGAGUAGGUGAGAGAGUACAGGGCAGUUUCUAUUCAGCUGUAUCCCUUUUAAAGUGCCGUCUUACAUGGCUUUUUUCAUCAUCAUGGACAGGAAGUUUGCUACCAGGAUGAAAAGGUAUGGGGAUAAGGGGUCACCUUGCCUUAUUCCUCUUGUUGGUUGGAAGUAGGGCAAGGGUUCCCCAUUAAGUUUAACACUCAGUGAGGUUGUUGUAACGCAUUGCAUUAUCAGAUUUACCCAUCUUUCAUUGAACCCCAUUGUAAUCAUACCAGCCUUUAAGAAGUCCCAUUCGAUCCGAUCGUAAGCCUUUUGCAUGUCUAACUUUAAGACCGCCUGAAAUUUUCGUUUGCGCUUCCGGACCCUUAUUUGGUGCAAGACUUCCUGGACAACAAGAAUAUUAUCCUGAAUUUGCCGUCCUCCUACAAAGGCACUCUGUUCAACUUCUAUCAACUCUGGGAGCCAUGGUUUCAGUCUAUUAGCUAGUACUUUCGAAAUGAUCUUAUAUGCGAAAUUGCACAAGCUUAUGGGUCUAAACUCUUCUAGCUUCUCUGGGUUUUUCACUUUUGGCACCAAGGAAAUGAGUGUUCUAUUCAACUGAGGAUCAAGCACGCCAGUGAGAAAGAAGUUCCUGACCUCUGAUACUACUUCCUGCUUUAUAUCUUCCCAGUAAUGUUGGAAGAAUUGUCCAUUCAAACCAUCCGAACCUGGGGCCCUCGAUGAACUAAGCUGGAAGGUAGCUUGCUUGACUUCCUCUAGUGUAACUUCCUCGAGCAGCCUGAUAUUUGUUUCCUCCUUAACUCUACAUGAGCAAUAUUGAAGUAGUGGGGUGAAUUGUCUUUGACCAGCUGAGGUAUACAGAUCCCUAAAGAAGUCAUAGGACAUCGUCUUUAUUUGCUCUUGGUCACGGGUCCAGUUCCCUGUAUUAUCCUUCAGCAUUGAAAUUUUGUUUCUGUGUCUCCUUUGUAUAGUUGAAGCGUGAAAGAACUUGGUGUUUUGGUCUCCCCA